rnacentral:rRNA from 1 species
GGUGAACGCUGGCGGCGUGCCUAAUACAUGCAAGUCGAGCGAACGGACGAGAAGCUUGCUUCUCUGAUGUUAGCGGCGGACGGGUGAGUAACACGUGGAUAACCUACCUAUAAGACUGGGAUAACUUCGGGAAACCGGAGCUAAUACCGGAUAAUAUUUUGAACCGCAUGGUUCAAAAGUGAAAGACGGUCUUGCUGUCACUUAUAGAUGGAUCCGCGCUGCAUUAGCUAGUUGGUAAGGUAACGGCUUACCAAGGCAACGAUGCAUAGCCGACCUGAGAGGGUGAUCGGCCACACUGGAACUGAGAAACGGUCCAGACUCCUACGGGAGGCAGCAGUAGGGAAUCUUCCGCAAUGGGCGAAAGCCUGACGGAGCAACGCCGCGUGAGUGAUGAAGGUCUUCGGAUCGUAAAACUCUGUUAUUAGGGAAGAACAUAUGUGUAAGUAACUGUGCACAUCUUGACGGUACCUAAUCAGAAAGCCACGGCUAACUACGUG